GCAGCCGCGGUAAUACGGAGGGUGCAAGCGUUAAUCGGAAUUACUGGGCGUAAAGCGCACGCAGGCGGUUUGUUAAGUCAGAUGUGAAAUCCCCGCGCUUAACGUGGGAACUGCAUUUGAAACUGGCAAGCUAGAGUCUUGUAGAGGGGGGUAGAAUUCCAGGUGUAGCGGUGAAAUGCGUAGAGAUCUGGAGGAAUACCGGUGGCGAAGGCGGCCCCCUGGACAAAGACUGACGCUCAGGUGCGAAAGCGUAGGGAGCAAACAGGAUUAGAUACCCUGGUAGUCCACGCUGUAAACGAUGUCGACUUGGAGGUUGUGCCCUUGAGGCGUGGCUUCCGGAGCUAACGCGUUAAGUCGACCGCCUGGGGAGUACGGCCGCAAGGUUAAAACUCAAAUGAAUUGACGGGGGCCCGCACAAGCGGUGGAGCAUGUGGUUUAAUUCGAUGCAACGCGAAGAACCUUACCUACUCUUGACAUCCAGAGAAUUCGCUAGAGAUAG
rnacentral:rRNA from 1 species